rnacentral:misc_RNA from 1 species
GAUGAAGAACGCAGCGAAAUGCGAUAAGUAAUGUGAAUUGCAGAAUUCAGUGAAUCAUCGAAUCUUUGAACGCACAUUGCGCCCGCCAGUAUUCUGGCGGGCAUGCCUGUUCGAGCGUCAUUUCAACCCCCAAGCCCAGCUUGGUGUUGGGGAUCGGCACAGGCGCCCUCGGGCGCCCGCCGUCCCCUAAAUCUAGUGGCGGUCCCGCUGCAGCCUCCUCUGCGUAGUAGUUUUCUCCUCGCAAGGGCAGCUCGGUGGCGACCUCGCCGUAAAACCCCCAACUUCUGAAAGGUUGACCUCGAAUCAGGUAGGAAUACCCGCUGAACUUAAGCAUAUCAAUAAGCGGAGGA